rnacentral:rRNA from 1 species
UACGUAGGGUGCGAGCGUUGUCCGGAAUUACUGGGCGUAAAGAGCUCGUAGGUGGUUUGUCGCGUCGUCUGUGAAAUUCCGGGGCUUAACUUCGGGCGUGCAGGCGAUACGGGCAUAACUUGAGUGCUGUAGGGGAGACUGGAAUUCCUGGUGUAGCGGUGAAAUGCGCAGAUAUCAGGAGGAACACCGAUGGCGAAGGCAGGUCUCUGGGCAGUUACGGACGCUGAGGAGCGAAAGCAUGGGUA